UACGGAGGGAGCUAGCGUUGUUCGGAAUUACUGGGCGUAAAGCGCGCGUAGGCGGCUUUGUAAGUUAGAGGUGAAAGCCCGGGGCUCAACCCCGGAACUGCCUUUAAAACUGCAUCGCUUGAAUCCGGGAGAGGUGAGUGGAAUUCCGAGUGUAGAGGUGAAAUCGUAGAUAUUCGGAAGAACACCAGUGGCGAAGGCGGCUCACUGGACCGGCAGUUGACGCUGAGG
rnacentral:rRNA from 1 species